rnacentral:rRNA from 1 species
GACAGAGGUGCCAAGCGUUUAGGCGGAAUCACUGGGCUUAAAGCGUGUGUAGGUGGAUGUCUAAGUACCUUGUGAAAUCCCAUGGCUCAACCAUGGAACUGCUCGGUAUACUGGACGUCUUGAGCCACUUAGGGGCUACCGGAACAAAUGGUGGAGCGGUGAAAUGCGUAGAUAUCAUUUGGAACGCCAAUGGUGAAAACAGGUAGCUGGGAGUGUGCUGACACUGAGACACGAAAGCCAGGGGAGCGAACGGGG